GUCCUCGUCGAUCAAAAGACAGAUCAUCCCAGUGCGAUAAGUAAGUCUCAGUUCACUUCAAUGGGAAGGCGGCGGUUCAAAUCCGCCCGAGGAUA